GAACGCUGGCGGCAGGCUUAACACAUGCAAGUCGAGCGGGGGAAGGUAGCUUGCUACCGGACCUAGCGGCGGACGGGUGAGUAAUGCUUAGGAAUCUGCCUAUUAGUGGGGGACAACAUCUCGAAAGGGAUGCUAAUACCGCAUACGUCCUACGGGAGAAAGCAGGGGAUCUUCGGACCUUGCGCUAAUAGAUGAGCCUAAGUCGGAUUAGCUAGUUGGUGGGGUAAAGGCCUACCAAGGCGACGAUCUGUAGCGGGUCUGAGAGGAUGAUCCGCCACACUGGGACUGAGACACGGCCCAGACUCCUACGGGAGGCAGCAGUGGGGAAUAUUGGACAAUGGGGGGAACCCUGAUCCAGCCAUGCCGCGUGUGUGAAGAAGGCCUUAUGGUUGUAAAGCACUUUAAGCGAGGAGGAGGCUACUUUAGUUAAUACCUAGAGAUAGUGGACGUUACUCGCAGAAUAAGCACCGGCUAACUCUGUGCCAGCAGCCGCGGUAAUACAGAGGGUGCG
rnacentral:rRNA from 1 species